UCGAUGAACUGCUCAUUCCCCUUCCCAUGUUCUUUCCUGUAAUACAUCGGUCUCACAUUGACCAAGAUUGAACAACUAUCCGUAUCCUCUACAAAUCAAAGAUCUCGUGCACUAAAUUGCUCAAUUCCUCCGAUUCACCCUCUGUCCUCAAAUCCCCACAGCCACAGAUCCAUUCCUCUCCAUAUCAAUCUUUUCUGAAUCGAAUUAGUUUGCUUCUUUUUUCUAGGCACGGCAGCUAGUUAUUUAAGUAUUCGUGGAUUAAUUGAGUUGUUCAUAACUUAAUUUCGGGUUUGCAAUUUUGUUCAGGCUGUAAAAUUUGGCGAAAUCUUUUGUGACCACAUGGGUUACGUUGGAAAGGAAAUUCAGAUCCCAUGUAUAUGGAUUAGCGAUGAUGGCCACACGACUGUUGGACGGCCACACGGCAGCUUGCUGUUCCCUCACUGGAGCUGCACAUUUCUACAGAUGAGUCUUCACUGAUGCUCAUUGCUGGUGCUGGUACCAUGGUGUGGAUAUCUAUCAUCUGGGAGUAGGUAGGUCGCUGGGAGUGUCUUUGGAUAUAUAUGCUUCCUUCUAUCCAGGUGCCAUGUGUUCCUCGGUGAGAUUGGCUAGGUACCAGAGGUGAACUCUAUUCUUUUUUUGAAAUGAACUGUAUCUUGUUUGUUGAAAAAAACUGUACCUUGUUUUCGGUAAAUCUCAUGUCCUGGAUACUUCUGACAAUAGCAACUGAGCAUUGAGUUGUGAUCUUGACGUAACCAAGCCUUCUGCAUGCUCUGCCUCAUGUUGUAGUUUGUACCGAUUAUACUGUGCUGAUUUUUUUCCUUCUUAACAAUCAUUUUUUGCAAAUUCCAAAUUUGAUGUGCUAAUCUAUAAGUAGGCUGAUGGAGGCACAGAAAAGCUUGAUUCCUAAUUGAAGGCGCUAAUCCUUUUUUCUCAAUAGCUAUUGUAUUAGAAUCCUCUCAUAUUAAUCCAGCCCAACCACCCUCCAUUUGUUAGCUUGAAUCAGCGUUAUAAGUAUAGAUUGAUGACAAUUCCACCAUGAUUUUGUAUUCUUUACUCAUUUGACGGUAGCGAUGUUUUUGCAUCUGUGCAUCAUCCCAAGAUGGUGUAUUUAGUUCUCUACUCCCUCCAUCGUGAAGGUCAGCCAUGAGAGCAAAAACGCGAUGUAUGUGUACUCAAAUGGGACUUCAUUUCCUGAAUUUCAUUCUCUGAAAGGCUCCAUUGAAUCCGUAGUGUCCCUCUCUUGUGGAUUCAAAUGAGACGUGCACCAUGCUCCUCUCAUCUGUAUUCAGGAUUGUUAGAUCUUUAUAUGAUUCUGAAUUAUAGAACUAUAAACAAAAAAAAAUACAUCGACUGAGGCACAGAAAAGCAUGAGUUAGAUGUGGGUUAAUUUGCAUUUCAGAAUUAAUUCGUAACCCCAAAAGAAAUCGUUCCUUUUAGACAAGGGUAUGCAGUAUGCAAUUAACUGAUAGAGUGUACUCACAAAAGAUAGGGUGAACUUCAAUCUGGUUCUGUCAGAUUUCAGAGCAUAUUGACAGUGUGUAAUACUAUCUAGAGUCCAGGUUUCUGCCUUGUUUGGCCCAUGAAAUUUGGAAUAACUUUUUGCAUGUUGCCUUGUUUUUGACUGUCAAUUACGUUAGAUAAUAUGUAUAUGUAAUCCAAAAGAAAGGUGUACAAUUAUCAGCCUAUUAGUAGUCCCAAAUUUUUGUGAUGUAUCUGUGCAGGAGCAACUAGUUCAGCUUUGUUCUAGUUUGGUGACGCGAGCAGUCCCAAAUUUCCCUUUGUGUGCAGACCAAAGACCCUUUCCACGAGAGCAUCUUCAGCAUGAUGCUCCUUGGGAAGCUCAGCUGUUGGCAUAAGAGCUCCAAGGUAACAUUUGAGCAGAUUGGUCAAAACAAGUUUGAGUUUUGUUUGCAUUGUGGAAGACAUCGAAACAAGCUGUUAGAUGACGAUGAAGGCUGAAAUACCUCAAGGGACUAGAAAAUUCAUGUUAGCAUAAUUGUCCAUGUCUUUUGGAGACAUCCAUUUGUAUGACUGUAAUAUGAACCUGCUUCCUAAGUCCUAACCCUUCAGAUGGCGCAAGUAGCUUAUUUGCUUCAAUUGUGUGCCAAUCAUUCACAAUUUAGAUAGUUGGCCCGAGAUAUGUAAAUUAUACACUAAUUAUAAGAUAAGGUUUCCCAUGGGCCAGCCUUUUUUUUCAUUGUUUA